rnacentral:rRNA from 1 species
UACGUAGGGUGCAAGCGUUGUCCGGACUUAUUGGGCGUAAAGAGUUCGUAGGCGGUCUGUCGCGUCUGCUGUGAAAACUCAGGGCUUAACCCUGAGCUUGCAGUGGGUACGGGCAGACUAGAGUGCGGUAGGGGAGACUGGAAUUCCUGGUGUAGCGGUGAAAUGCGCAGAUAUCAGGAGGAACACCGGUGGCGAAGGCGGGUCUCUGGGCCGUAACUGACGCUGAGGAGCGAAAGCGUGGGGAGCAAACAGG